UAUUCUUAUAUCGUAUUCACUCAUAUAAUAGCGAAAAUAUGGUUCGCAAGUUUCUACCGGUUUGCCUUAAACAAGCCGACUAUGAGUGGCAAUGAAGAAAAA
rnacentral:ncRNA from 2 species